AUUGAACGCUGGCGGCAUGCUUUACACAUGCAAGUCGAACGGUAACAGGUUAAGCUGACGAGUGGCGAACGGGUGAGUAAUGCAUCGGAACGUGCCCGGUCGUGGGGGAUAACGCAGCGAAAGCUGCGCUAAUACCGCAUACGAUCUGAGGAUGAAAGCGGGGGACCGUAAGGCCUCGCGCGAUCGGAGCGGCCGAUGUCAGAUUAGGUAGUUGGUGGGGUAAAGGCUCACCAAGCCGACGAUCUGUAGCUGGUCUGAGAGGACGACCAGCCACACUGGGACUGAGACACGGCCCAGACUCCUACGGGAGGCAGCAGUGGGGAAUUUUGGACAAUGGGCGAAAGCCUGAUCCAGCAAUGCCGCGUGCAGGAAGAAGGCCUUCGGGUUGUAAACUGCUUUUGUACGGAGCGAAAAGGUCCUUUCUAAUACAAGGGGCUCAUGACGGUACCGUAAGAAUAAGCACCGGCUAACUACGUGCCAGCAGCCGCCGUAA
rnacentral:rRNA from 1 species